rnacentral:misc_RNA from 1 species
GAGGACAUGUUCUCUUGCUUCACCAUACGGAAUUAUUUGAAUGAGAAGACAAUAGUGAACGGAGUGGAAUACGUAGCUGCUUAUGAGGAUAAAGAUGGUGACUGGAUGAUGGUUGGGGAUGUACCAUGGAAAAUGUUUGUUGAAUCGUGUAAGCGACUAAGGUUGAUGAAAAGCUCAGAAGCAAUUGGAUUAGCUCCAAGGACGCCUUCAAAAUGCUCAAGCACAAGUGAGUGAGGCCUGGGAAUGAAACAAGUGGUGCACAGAGGCUUUUUCGGUGUAGAGGUUUUAAGUAGAAACAGAGAAAUAAGAGAGAGGCCUGCUUGUAGUUUUCUCUAUGUCACAUUACGUUAGUGCAACUGAAUUGAUGUUAGUGGGCCUUUCUCUCCAUUUUCAGCCUUUUGCCAUACUUGCUGAGUACCCAAAAAAAAA